rnacentral:rRNA from 1 species
UACGAAGGGGGCUAGCGUUGCUCGGAAUCACUGGGCGUAAAGGGUGCGUAGGCGGGUCUUUAAGUCAGGGGUGAAAUCCUGGAGCUCAACUCCAGAACUGCCUUUGAUACUGAAGAUCUUGAGUUCGGGAGAGGUGAGUGGAACUGCGAGUGUAGAGGUGAAAUUCGUAGAUAUUCGCAAGAACACCAGUGGCGAAGGCGACUCGCUGGUCUUUUGCUGACGCUGAGACGCGAAAGCGUGGGGAGCAAACAGG